GGGAAAUGUGUUGCUACCCUGAAAGAAACUGGGUCCUGUAACUAAAAAAAAGAGAAGUCAACAUGGUUCCCUUCUGACAACAGCAAGGGCUUCUAAUGUGAAUGAGGCUCAGGGGAAUCUGCUAGUCAUCUCUGGCUUCCCUGGCACCAUGCAAAGACAUGCUCCUGUAGAAGAGAAUAUUGAAAGCCAUCCAGACCCCAGCUGUAGCAGCACUGAAUGCCAGAAUGGUUUUCUCAUGGAGAAUUCCUGAAGGACCUCCUAUUGAGCUCACCUGAGUGACAUGGAAGGAUGACAUGUGGGACAAGCGGAGUGAAGCCUGGGGUGGUGAGAACACUGCAGGCAUCCAGUGGAUUCCUUUAAAGCAGGUUGCUCAACUGUGGUCCUGUUGACAGUUUGGGCUGGGUGAUUCUCCACUGUGGGGCCUAACCUGGAUGUUGUAGGAUGGUUGGUGGCAUCUCUGGCCCCCACCCACUAGGUGCCGGGAACAUCCAGUGCUCAUCCCCAAUGUCUCCAGACACUGCCCAGGGUCCGAGUGCCAUCACUUUCAACUGAGAAUCACUGCUUAGAGGGAAGCAAUUUGUGAAUGAGAAGCAUGUAUGCUGUGACUCACAAUUUCAAACCAAUGAAGUUCAACCUCAGACUGCUGCAAAAAAAAGUACUCCCCACUCACCAACAGUCAACAAACAACAAGAAAAAUGACCAAAAAGUACGAUUGAAAAGCCUCCACCAGCCUGCUCAGUAAGGAGCAUCCUGGGUUCUGUUCAUGCAGACACGUUCAGACAUCUUUGAUUCUGGAGGAAUUCCCUCAAGUCACACUUUCCUGGAUAAUAUCACAGAUGCCACAUGACCAGUUUGGCUUAUUUU